ACUGUCAGAAAGAACUGAGCCCUAAAGAGAAAAGAACAACCACCCUAUGAACCCCCUCCCUCUAAACAAGAGUGCAGACAGAAAAUAUUGGUUAAACUGAGAGGAAUUGAAGCAGAUCAGUCAGUACUUUUUCUGUGCACAACAUAUCCAAUGUUGUGGCAUUAAGAUGCAGGAAGAGUGCUAUAUUAAUUGUCUUUCCUUGCCUUCUAUUGUGAACAUCUGGUGGUUGUACUGCCAGCCGUAUAGCAGGACAUCCCAUUGCGACAAUAUGGUUUACUCUGCCCCAUUGUAGUCUCUCCUCACCCAGCCUGAAACCUACUUGCUCAGGGGUGGAGCUUGCCGCUCAAUUGUUCUGCCACGCCCACUGCU